AUUGAACGCUGGCGGCAGGCCUAACACAUGCAAGUCGAGCGAGCGGCGGAAGGGUGAGGAAUGUAUGGGGACUGCCCGAUAGAGGGGGAUAACUACUGGAAACGGUAGCUAAUACCGCAUAUUAUCGGAUAACCCAGAUGGGAUUAGAUAGAAGGUGAGGUAAUGGCUCACCUAGGCGACGAUCCCUAGCUGGUCUGAGAGGAUGAUCAGCCACACUGGGACUGAGACACGGCCCAGACUCCUACGGAGGCAGCAGUGGGGAAUAUUGCACAAUGGGCGCAACCCUGAUCCAGCCAUGCCGCGUGUAUGAUGAAGGCCUUCGGGUUGUAAAGUACUUUUGGCAGAGAAGCGGUAUCUGCAGAAUAAGCACCGGCUAACUACGUGCCAGCAGCCGCGGUAAUUC
rnacentral:rRNA from 1 species